rnacentral:rRNA from 1 species
UACGGGGGGAGCAAGCGUUGUUCGGAAUUACUGGGCGUAAAGGGCUCGUAGGUGGCCAACUAAGUCAGACGUGAAAUCCCUCGGCUUAACCGGGGAACUGCGUCUGAUACUGGAUGGCUUGAGUGUGGGAGAGGGAUGCGGAAUUCCAGGUGUAGCGGUGAAAUGCGUAGAUAUCUGGAGGAACACCGGUGGCGAAGGCGGCAUCCUGGACCAUUACUGACACUGAAUAGCGAAAGCCAGGGGAGCAAACGGG